GUCUUCUUGCUAUAUUUAGGAAGUCUGGCCUGCCCAGUGAAAAUAAUUUAACGGCCGCGGUAUACUGACCGUGCAAAGGUAGCAUAAUCAUUAGUCUUUUAAUAGAGGGCUGGUAUGAAGGGUUUAACGAGGUGUUGACUGUCUCAUUUAAUUUGAAUUUAGAAUUUAAUUUUUUAGUUAAAAAGCUAAAAUACUAUUGGAAGACGAGAAGACCCUAUAGAGCUUUAUAUUUUUAUUAUUAAUUUAUUUUAGUUUAUUAUUAUUUAUUAUUAAUAGAAAGUAUUUUGUUGGGGUGACAAAAAUAUAUAAAUAACUUUUUCAUUUAUUUUACAUUGAUAUAUGAAUAUUAGAUCCAAUCUUAUUGAUUGUUAGAUUAAGUUACCUUAGGGAUAACAGCGUAAUCCCUCUCCAGAGUUCAUAUUUACAGAGGGGCUUGCGACCUCGAUGUUGGAUUAAGAUAAUAAUUAGGUGCAGCCGCUUAAUUAAUAGGUCUGUUCGACCUUUAAAUUCUU
rnacentral:rRNA from 2 species